rnacentral:lncRNA from 1 species
CAUAGCUGCGCCUGUCAUGCAAGCAACAGCUCUCCUCUGGUACUGCCUGAUUCCCCGAGGGAAGGCUCCUUGUUGGCCUUUGUCUUUUAACUGCCAGCCCCUCCCAGAUCCUCAGCUGGAGGCAGUGACAGGGCCACAGGUGUCCCUAAGAGCAAGGCCACCAAGCAUAUCCACCAAGAGUUCUGACACAGUAUGACCAGCUGUCUGAUGCUCCUGCUGCCACGCUUAUCCCACCGUGAUGGGCUGUGCCCCUUCAAACUGUGAGCCAAAGUGAACUCUCAUCCUUAAGUUGCUUCACCACAACACGAAAAGUAACUGAUCCAGAAGCUAUGGAGCCUCUGAGGAGCUGUGAGGCCUCCAAGAAGGCCCCCAGCGGCCCUGCCCUCUGGUAGUCACAGCUCAUACCCCCAGAAUACAGCAGACACCGAGGGUGUCAUUUAUGAUUACACUGUGGAAGGCAGUGUGACUCCAAUUAUAUGGUGACUUCUUUCUACACCUCAGGGAAGCCAGUAGCAGGUGAGGAGAGACCCUGUAGAGACCUGGGGGGUCCCUACCCCAAA